UACGUAGGUGGCAAGCGUUUGUUCGGAAUUACUGGGCGUAAAGCGCGCGUAGGCGGCUCUUCAAGUCAGGCGUGAAAGCCCCGGGCUUAACUCGGGAACUGCGCUUGAUACUGUCGAGCUAGAGUGUGGAAGGGGCGAUUGGAAUUCCGUGUGUAGCGGUGAAAUGCGUAGAUAUACGGAGGAACACCAGGGGCGAAGGCGGAUCGCUGGGCCAACACUGACGCUGAUGCGCGAAAGCUAGGGGAGCAAACGGG
rnacentral:rRNA from 1 species